rnacentral:rRNA from 1 species
UACAGAGGGUGCGAGCGUUAAUCGGAAUUACUGGGCGUAAAGCGUGCGCAGGCGGUUUGUUAAGUCUGUUGUGAAAUCCCCGAGCUCAACUUGGGAAUUGCGCUUGUGACUGCAAGGCUAGAGUGUGUCAGAGGGGGGUAGAAUUCCACGUGUAGCAGUGAAAUGCGUAGAGAUGUGGAGGAAUACCGAUGGCGAAGGCAGCCCCCUGGGACAUGACUGACGCUCAUGCACGAAAGCGUGGGGAGCAAACAGG